rnacentral:rRNA from 1 species
GACGAACCGUCCAAACGUUAUUCGGAAUCACUGGGCUUACAGAGUUCGUAGGCGGUCUGGAAAGUUGGGUGUGAAAUCCCUCGGCUCAACCGAGGAACUGCGCUUGAAACUACCAGACUCGAGGGAGAUAGAGGAAAGCGGAACUGAUGGUGGAGCGGUGAAAUGCGUUGAUAUCAUCAGGAACACCGGUGGCGAAGGCGGCUUUCUGGGUCUUACCUGACGCUGAUGCGCGAAAGCGUGGGGAGCGAUCCGG